UUACUUACCCACAAGGGGAGAGACCAUGGUCUCAAAGGUGGGUUUCUCAGGGUGAAGCUUAUCCAUUGCACUCCAGAUGUGCUGACCCCUGUGAUUUUUCUCCAAUGUGGGAAGCUCGACUGCCUAAUUCGUGGUAGUGGGACACUGGUUUGUGCUCUCCCCU
rnacentral:snRNA from 1 species